ACGCCUGUGGAGGGCCGAACCGGGACCUGUUGCAAAAGGUCCGGAUGAGCUGUGGGUAGCGGUGAAAUGCCAAGCGAACCCAGAGAUAGCUGGUUCUCCCCGAAAUGCAUUUAGGUGCAGCCCCGGCAUGGGGCGCGGCGGAGGUAUCGCGCUGGAUUGACGAGGGGGCUACUCGCUUACCGACUCAAACCAAACGACGAAUGCCGCCGCGAUGGUGCCGGGGCGUGAGACAGCGGGUGCGAAGAUUCGUUGUCGAGAGGGAAACAGCCCAGACCGCCAGCUAAGGUCCCCAACUACGGACUAAGUGGGCAAGGUAGUCGCGGUGCAGAAACAACCAGGAGGUUGGCUUAGAAGCAGCCAUCCUUGAAAGAGUGCGUAAUAGCUCACUGGUCGAGUGUGCCGCGGCGCCGACAAUCCACCGGGGCUCAAGUCCGUGACCGAAGCUGCGGAUGGUGCGCAAGCGCCAUGGUAGGGGAGCGUCCCGUUGCGGAGAGCUGGGCUGGAAGGCCUGGUGGAGC
rnacentral:rRNA from 1 species